rnacentral:lncRNA from 10 species
AUUCACUUCUGCGUUCUCUCUCUCUCUUUUUUCUUAACUUUUUAUUCUUUUCAUAAAUCUUGUUGCCCCAAACUCAGAUUUGUGGAGCCUCUCAGUUUAAAUGACUAAUGGACUAGCUGUAGUUUUUGAGUCCCUAUUCCAAAUUAUUGAAGGAACAAACAAAGUUCUCUGGCUUGCACCCACAGUCCACUCUGGUUUCAGCCAUCUCUAGCCUGGCUCAGCAGGCCUGGAGGGAUGAUGCUGUCGACUCGUAGGCCAUGAGUUCCACUCCUUAAUGGGCAGGUAGGAGCAACUAUGAUGACAAGCUAGGCCCAGAGAAGAGGACAUGAGCCAGGCCAGCACCACAGUUAUAGGUAAACUGUGGACAUGUGAAAUCUGAGACAGGCGAAUUUAUUUUCUGCUUAUACUGCUAAAGAGACCCAAGAACUGGAGAAGUUCUUCUUAAGAUUGAACUGAGGUUUUGGAGAAGCACCUGAAGAAAUGAGAAAGGAAAGACGCACACACACAGUUGCCUGGUUGGCCAACUCCGGGUGUCAGAUGGAGACACAGGUGUGGCAGAUUGAUCACCAGCAACCUAUGUAGAAUUGCCAGCUAAGUUUAGAUUCUGAGGAUAAUGCAUGGACGUCUCUGAGGAGGCACUCUUCUGCCCAUCAUGCACUGUGCUGAGGGAAGCCAGAUGACAAGAUAAACAGAUACAUGAAUUGCAUGCAUUUCUGUAUAUAUGUGCAUUUGUAUACAUACAUAACUUCACAUCAAGAAAUGCAUAUUGACAGAAGCAAAGAAAAUGCUGUAAUGGAGAAUAAAAUGGAGAACAAGUCUGUUGGAAGAGGAGACAUCUGUGCUGAGAACUGAAAGAGAAUACAAUCUCUCUUCCAAUUUCUCUUCUCUAAGAAAAUAGCUUUAUGGUUUAUACUCAUAAGAUUGUUUUGAGGAUUGAAUGAUGUGAAUGAUGUAAAUGAUGUAACAAUUUUUACAGAACAUCUAGUAGUAUCACUGAUGAUUCCCCAAUGCUUACAAUAGUUUCUUCACAGCGGUGGCUGCAGAACAGCGGUGGCUGUAGAACAGCGGAUUUUGGUGACCCGCAAAUGCUGCUGCCUGAUCAUUCCUCUGGAAGUUUUGUCUCAGAGGAGUACCCAGCCGUG